CGCGCAACGCAGAAGCAGCUGGCGACCAAGGCGGCGCGCAAGUCCGCCCCGGUCACCGGCGGCAUGAAGAAACCCCACCUUUUCCACCCGGGUACCAUUGUGCUGCGCGAGAUCUGGAAGUACCAGAAGAGCACGGAGCUUCUCAUCCGCAAACUCCCCUUCCAGCGGCUGGUGCAGGAGAUCGCACGGGACUACAAGACUGACUUGUGCUUCCAGAGCUCCGCCGUGUCGGCGCUGCAGGAGGCCGCCAAGGCGUACCUCAUCGGGCUCUUCGAGGACACCAACCUUUGUGCCAUCCACGCCAAGCGCGUCACCAUCAUGCCCAAGGACAUCCUGCUCGCCCGCCGCAUCCACGGGGAGCGCGCCUAG
rnacentral:rRNA from 1 species